UGCGUAGGCGGGCUAAUAAGUCAGUGGUGAAAUCCUGCGGCUUAACCGUAGAACUGCCAUUGAUACUGUUGCCCUUGAGUAUAGUUGAAGUGGGCGGAAUAUGUAAUGUAGCGGUGAAAUGCAUAGAGAUUACAUAGAACACCAAUUGCGAAGGCAGCUCACUAAGCUAUCACUGACGCUGAGGCACGAAAGCGUGGGGAGCGAACAGGAUUAGAUACCCUGGUAGUC
rnacentral:rRNA from 1 species